rnacentral:rRNA from 1 species
UACGUAGGGUCCGAGCGUUGUCCGGAAUUAUUGGGCGUAAAGGGCUCGUAGGCGGUUUGUCGCGUCGGGAGUGAAAACUCAGGGCUCAACCCUGAGCGUGCUUCCGAUACGGGCAGACUAGAGGUAUGCAGGGGAGAACGGAAUUCCUGGUGUAGCGGUGGAAUGCGCAGAUAUCAGGAGGAACACCGGUGGCGAAGGCGGUUCUCUGGGCAUUACCUGACGCUGAGGCGCGACAGCGUGGGGAGCAAACAGG